GCGGGCUCCCGCGGCGGCCAGGCCUGCGCCGCCCGCCACCAGGGACGCGCCGCGGCGGCGCCUCCAUUUGCCCCCGAGCCGAGCCGUGGCUUUCCGGAUGAUCGGGAGACGCGGUCUGGACGGGCCGGGAAAGGAGCCGGGCGCCUGCGGAGACCCCGCCUCAGCGAGUACGCCCGGCCGGGCGGGCUGGGAGGAUGAGGACGGCUGCCCUGGACUUCCGCCGCCACAGGAGGGCUUUCGGCCGGACGCCGGGAGGGAGCUCCAGGCUGUGAGCACCAUUUGUAAAGGUCUUAAGAACAAGAACAGGGACUUCGGCUCCAGAGCUUCAAGAUAGUGGCCUGCUUGGCCUGCCCAUCUCGGGUCUCUCCAGGAGGACCCAGCCACUCAAGGGUCGUCUUCUGCUGCUGACCCCCAUCAAAUCCCAUCAUGCCCACAGCCCUGUGCCCCCGAGUCUUGGCUCCGAAGGAAAGUGAGGAGCCCAGGAAAAUGAGGAGCCCACCUGGAGAGAACCCUAGCCCCCAGGGGGAGCUUCCCAGCCCUGAGUCCUCUCGGCGCCUCUUCCGCCGUUUCCGCUACCAGGAGGCGGCGGGCCCCCGGGAGGCCCUGCAGCGCCUCUGGGACCUGUGCCGGGGCUGGCUGCGGCCUGAGAGGCACACCAAGGAGCAGAUUCUGGAGCUGCUGGUGCUGGAGCAGUUCCUGGCCAUCCUGCCCCGGGAGAUCCAGAGCUGGGUGCGGGCGCAGGAGCCUGAGAGCGGAGAGCAGGCUGUGGCCGCGGUGGAGGCACUGGAACGGGAGCCCGGGAGACCCUGGCAGUGGCUCAAGCACUGUGAAGACCCUGUGGUGAUUGAUGAUGGGGACAGUCCUCUGGACCAGGAGCAGGAGCAGCUGCCGGUAGAGCCCCACAGCGACCUUGCAAAGAGCCAGGAUGCCCAGCCCAUAGCCCAGGCACAGUGCCUGGGGCUCCCAAGCAGACCACCAAGCCAGCUCAGCGGGGACCCAGGUAUGCA
rnacentral:sRNA from 1 species